GAACGGAUUUGGAAAAGUGAAAGUGUGGGAAGGGGGGGGGUGAGGUAGAUUUCAGAAAAAGAAAAAAUAAAUAUAAUUAAAGUAAAAUGGAUAUUUUUGUAAUUAAAAAAAAAAAAUUAGAAAAAUUUAAGGGGGUAGAGGAAGCAUUGGUGGAGGUGGAAGGAGUAUCACCCGCAGAAGAAACGUAUUUUUUGUUGUUUUUUUUCUUGGUAAAACCGAAUGGACUUUAGCCGAGGAGGAUGACGAUGUGACUUUGCAGAAACGGGGGGCGCGUAAACAAAGUUUUCUCUUUUUGGUUUUUUCUUUUGCGUGGCCCAACGGUGGCCCAGUCUUCCCACCCCCAAGUUCAGAAACCUUAGGGGUUCUCGCAGAUCCCUCCUCAUCUCCAACACGCAGACUUUACAUUUUCCAGAGACUCCAAGGUCUCUCGUCUCUCCUGCGGAGGUUCGUCGCCGCCUCGGCCAGAACUGGCCACCACGCCACCGCCUCCACAAGUCUCGACCUCGCCGGCGACAACAGGUGUUACCGGAUCCAUGGCCGGCCACGACGUCCUCGCUGCCCCUCACUCUUCUCGCGCGAGAGAUCGUCUUCUUCAUGAAUCGCUCCUUGGGCAAGCUCAGCCACCGCACAAGCCAGCACGCCAUCCGAUCAGCCACUAUGAGCAACCUCCGCGCUACAGCCUCUGCCGAAUCGCCGCCGGAGCGAGCCCAGCCGUCUCGAACCAGGGCACCACCAUCGCCACCAGUCAUGGCCCAAGGUCGCUGCUGGUCAUCGCCGGCCACCUUUACUGCCAACCGCCAUUCACCGCCUGAUGCAGCGCCAACCAUGGAUCGGAUUCUCCCUCAGCCUAAUCUUCCUCGCCGUGACUCUCACACACUAGAAAUUUAGGAAUCUGCGAUUGAACACUACUCUCUUCUCUAAUUGUCACUCUGCUACCCUAGAGGUGAUUCGAUUGGGACCGCUUAAGGCUUGGGGGGAAGAGUACUUGGAGUUUUGGUGAUUGGAGGUGAGAAGGAAAUAGGUUGGCUUCAGAGAUUGCUAGGGCCGAGAGAAACCAGAUGAAGAACGGCGGUGAUAGUACCGUGAACAGCUCAAAUCAGUUGGGUUUCAUAUUUGGAUCGAAAUUUUCUCAGUUCCUUUCUCAGUAUGUCAAAGGCUCGCACGGUUGAAGGCUCGCGGCCCUUAAGACUCGAGACUCGCCGCCGAGGAAGGUUUGCUACCGUGAAAGGUUUGCUACCGUGAAAGGUUAACCACCGUGGAAGGCUUGUCUUCAUUGAAUACUCGUCAAUGUCGAAAGAAGGCUUUGCCGCCAUCACCGAACUGUCGAAGGAAGGUUCUGAGAACACUUCUUUUUUAGCGAGAAGCAAAGGCAUAUUAGGCAAGGCUUUCAGGGGUGACAUUGGAUAAUUAGUUUGUUUUGAUUGAAGCAGGAUAGAGUUUAGGAGAAAUUUGUGUGGAUUUUGGGGAAUCAUUAAGUGGUUGUAUGCUUUUGGUUUGUAUUUGCUGGCCUUAGAUUUUAUUCCAAAUGCGGUAGUAAUGUUGCUAAUGUUCAUAAUCAGAUGUAAUUGUGUAAAUGAUGAUGUGUAAUUAAUUGGAACAAGGAUUAAAGAAAACACUAAUAAGAUGGUAAGGAUGGGUUGGAAGAAGUCAACUAAUAUGAGUGCUUAUUCUCAUUUCUACAUUAAGCAUUCAAUUCUUUCAGGGUAGUAAACAUUAAACCGUGCAAGAGAUGACCAUAGAAAACAUUCAAUGGGCAUAUCCAACACUAACUUGAGAAGAAAGAUUUAGCUAUUGUCACCACUUUCUAAAAGUAUCAUUGAAUUAACUAUAAAGGAAAUGCGUGCCAGAGAUAGCAUUCCUGGUCUUGUUCAUUUGGAUGAUGCAAAAAGUUUUAACAUGUCACUAAAUGAAUCUAAUAAUGUGAAGAUAGAUAGAAAAUUGUCACGGGGGAGUGGUAGGAAAAUGAAAUCUCUAGAGGGUUGGGAAUCCUCAAUGGAAGUCAAGGGUUCUACAAAGAAGAAUGGUCGGAUUGAUGCUGGAGUGUUGUCAAGAAAGGAAGAAAGUACAGAUGCAUCAACUAUGAAGGAGCUAGUUUCAAAUACUAUGAAGCUUCCACUUUUAUCCAGUUCAUAUUCAUUCA